UACAGAGGUCUCGAGCGUUGUUCGGAUUCAUUGGGCGUAAAGGGCGCGUAGGCGGCGGGGUAAGUCUGGUGUGAAAUCUCGGAGCUCAACUCCGAAAUUGCACUGGAUACUGCUCUGCUAGAGGGCUGGAGAGGAGAUCGGAAUUCACGGUGUAGCAGUGAAAUGCGUAGAUAUCAUGAGGAAGACCAGUGGCGAAGGCGGGUCUCUGGACAGUUCCUGACACUGAGACACGAAGGCCAGGGGAGCAAACGGG
rnacentral:rRNA from 1 species